rnacentral:rRNA from 1 species
UACGGAGGGUGCGAGCGUUGUCCGGAAUCAUUGGGCGUAAAGGGCGCGUAGGUGGCGGGACAAGCGUGCGGUGAAAGCUCGGGGCUCAACCCCCGAGUCGGCCGGUGCGAACUGUUUGCUGGAGCACUGUAGAGGCAGGCGGAAUUCCGGGUGUAGCGGUGGAAUGCGUAGAUAUCGUGAAGGAAGACCGUGGCGAAGGCGGGUCUCGUGGACAGUUCCGUGACGCUGAGGCACGAAGGUCAGGGGAGCAAACGGG